rnacentral:ncRNA from 1 species
ACGAGCUGGAUGUGGACGGAAACCACACGUCGAGCAAAAGAGCAAAAGCUCGCUCGAUUUCGAUUUUCAAUAAGAAUAUGGACCGUGAUAGCAU